GAUGAAGAACGUAGCGAAAUGCGAUAAGUUAUGUGAAUUGCAGAAUUCAGUGAAUCAUCGAAUCUUUGAACGCACAUUGCGCCCGCCAGUAUUCUGGCGGGCAUGCCUGUUCGAGCGUCAUUACAACCCUCAGGCCCCCGGGCCUGGCGUUGGGGAUCGGCGGAGCCCCCCGUGGGCACACGCCGUCCCCCAAAUGCAGUGGCGGUCCCGCCGCAGCUUCCAUCGCGUAGUAGCUAACACCUCGCGACUGGAGAGCGGCGCGGCCACGCCGUAAAACACCCAACUCUUCUGAAGUUGACCUCGAAUCAGGUAGGAAUACCCGCUGAACUUAAGCAUAUCAAUAAGCGGAGGA
rnacentral:misc_RNA from 1 species